GAUGAACGCUAGCGGCAGGCUUAACACAUGCAAGUCGAGGGGCAGCACGAUGUAGCAAUACAUUGGUGGCGACCGGCGCACGGGUGCGUAACACGUAUGGAACUUGCCCUUUACUGGAGGAUAGCCCGGAGAAAUCCGGAUUAAUACUCCAUAACAGUCGAGGUGGCAUCACCUUGGCUUGAAAGCUCCGGCGGUAAAGGAUGGCCAUGCGCACGAUUAGCUAGUUGGUGAGGUAACGGCUCACCAAGGCGACGAUCCGUAACUGGUCUGAGAGGACGACCAGUCACACCGGAACUGAGACACGGUCCGGACUCCUACGGGAGGCAGCAGUGGGGAAUAUUGGACAAUGGGACGAAAGCCUGAUCCAGCGACGCCGCGUGGGUGAAGAAGG
rnacentral:rRNA from 1 species